GUGUGAGCCGAUGACAUCAGACAGAAAAGGGGUGUGGCCCUCCUGGUAAACAACAGCAACGAUGUCGUUGCCUAUGUGUCUCUUCCUCUGUAGCUGUAAGGAGUAAUGAGCAGAGGGGCAAUUUGGUGGACACAUGGAACAUGAUCUCUCUGCUGUGGAAGGAAGUGAAGACCGCAUCACUUCCUGUCUGGCCGUGACACACGUCCAAACCUCCUCGGAACCUGGAAGAGAGGGAGGGAGAGAAAGAGGGAAGAGGCAGUCGGGGAGAGGGAGUGACAGUAAGCUGCUGGUAUCUUCUUAUUCAUCUCUUCCUGUUACAAUGUCAUAUUUCUGUCAUUUCUCCAUAAGGCCAUGUCAAAAUGUCGGUUACUGUACAUUACCCAGUGAACCCUUGAAGUGUGACUGUAUCUCCCAAAAUAGAGAGGAAUUCUUGAAACUCUUCACUUUCCUCAUUGUUACAGAGUAUGUCCUCCUCUGUCAACUGUAAAAGACAGAGAGAAAAUAUGAGAGAUAAUGUACAGUAGACUAGUGCUACUAUUUAAUGCUUCCAAGCUUC